rnacentral:tRNA from 1 species
AGGCUAUUUAGUUUAAAGUUUAAAACCCUUGCCUUGAAAGUAAGAGAUAAAAUUUAAUGGCCUA